UGAGUGCUACUACAGUAGAUCAAUACUGAGUGUUACAAUGGGUUCUGUUUCCUGCGAGAAAUACUUCUCUGAGGAUGUUGAGGAAGAGGACGAGUGUAAAGAUG